CCGAGGACACAGAAAUUCAAAUGAAUUUAUUUAAUGUGUAUUUCAUAAAUCUUUUGUUUCGAGAAGAAAAAUGUUCAUUAUCUCAUAAUAGUUCGUCACGCUACAAGUUUUUUUGUUAGUUACGUACGACUUUAUCUUCCUUUUAUGUAAGGUCAACAGAAUAUAGAUAAAUUAAUGAAAACCAAUACUAGAAAAAUAUGUUUACUUAUACGUAUUUAGUUAGUUCCGUUCUCGACAAAGCUCAACACGGUUGGCCGUGCUUUUAUUAAACGUUCUCUGUUGUUUAAACAAACGUAAACUAAUUUUAAGCAAAAUGGCAUUACAAUUAUAUAUUAAUAUUGGGGAAUGUGUACCUGAAAGGACUCUCAAAAAUCGUACCUGUUCUUCCCUUCAACAUCUGGCCCACCCGCUACAUUUUUGAAGGACAUUGACCCAGUGAGCAAUACCAUGGAAUGGAUUACCUAUUUUAUCUUUUAAAUGCGGUUCAGUUCUAUGG